rnacentral:misc_RNA from 1 species
GAUGAAGAACGCAGCGAAAUGCGAUAAGUAGUGUGAAUUGCAGAAUUCAGUGAAUCAUCGAAUCUUUGAACGCACAUUGCGCCCUUCGGUAUUCCGUUGGGCAUGCCUGUUCGAGCGUCAUUUAAACCUUCAAGCUAUGCUUGGUGUUGGGUGUUUGUUCCGCCUCUGCGCGUGGACUCGCCUCAAAUUCAUUGGCAGCCGGUAUGUUGGCUUCGUGCGCAGCACAUUGCAAGCGAUUUCAACAGGCCUCCUUCCAUAAGCCCUUUUUUUACUUUGGCCUCGGAUCAGGUAGGGAUACCCGCUGAACUUAAGCAUAUCAAUAAGCGGAGGA